rnacentral:rRNA from 1 species
GAUGAACGCUGGCGGCGUGCCUAAUACAUGCAAGUCGAGCGAACGGACGAGAAGCUUGCUUCUCUGAUGUUAGCGGCGGACGGGUGAGUAACACGUGGAUAACCUACCUAUAAGACUGGGAUAACUUCGGGAAACCGGAGCUAAUACCGGAUAAUAUUUUGAACCGCAUGGUUCAAAAGUGAAAGACGGUCUUGCUGUCACUUAUAGAUGGAUCCGCGCUGCAUUAGCUAGUUUGUAAGGUAACGGCUUACCAAGGCAACGAUGCAUAGCCGACCUGAGAGGGUGAUCGGCCACACUGGAACUGAGACACGGUCCAGACUCCUACGGGAGGCAGCAGUAGGGAAUCUUCCGCAAUGGGCGAAAGCCUGACGGAGCAACGCCGCGUGAGUGACGAAGGUCUUCGGAUCGUAAAACUCUGUUAUUAGGGAAGAACAUAUGUGUAAGUAACUGUGCACAUCUUGACGGUACCUAAUCAGAAAGCCACGGCUAACUACGUG